rnacentral:rRNA from 1 species
CGGACGGGUGAGUAACGCGUGGGUAACCUGCCCUGUACAGGGGGAUAACAGUUAGAAAUGACUGCUAACACCGCAUAAGCGCACGGUAAGGCAUCUUAGUGUGUGAAAGUAUUAAUAGGUACAGGAUGGGCCCGCGUCUGAUUAGCCAGUUGGCAGGGUAACGGCCUACCAAAGCGACGAUCAGUAGCCGGCUUGAGAGAGUGAACGGCCACAUUGGGACUGAGACACGGCCCAAACUCCUACGGGAGGCAGCAG